UACGUAGGGUGCGAGCGUUGUCCGGAAUUAUUGGGCGUAAAGGGCUCGUAGGCGGUCUGUUGCGUCGGGAGUGAAAACUCAGGGCUUAACCCUGAGCUGCUUCCGAUACGGGCAGACUAGAGGUAUGCAGGGGAGAACGGAAUUCCUGGUGUAGCGGUGAAAUGCGCAGAUAUCAGGAAGAACACCCGUGGCGAAGGCGGCUCUCUGGGACGGUACUGACGCUGAGGCGCGAAAGCUAGGGGAGCAAACGGG
rnacentral:rRNA from 1 species